AACAUCUUCUAUAGAUAUCUUUUUUAGAUAAGGCCUGCCCAAUGAUUAUUUUAAUGGCCGCGGUAUUUUGACCGUGCAAAGGUAGCAUAAUCAUUAGUUUAUUAAUUGUAAACUGGUAUGAAUGGUUUGACGAAACAUUUUCUUUCUUUUUUAUAUUUUUGUUGAAUUUAAAUAUUAAGUUAAAAUGCUUAAAUUUAUUUAUUAGACGAGAAGACCCUGUAGAUCUUUAUUAUUAUUUAUUUUGAUUAUUUUAGAUUAUUUUUAUUUAAGGUUUAUUAUUUUUUGGUUGGGGUAAUAAUAGAUUUUGUUUAAUAUCUAUUUAUAUUUUACAAUGAUUUUUGUUUAUUUGAUUUAUUAUUAUUAUUAAAAGAUUUAGAUACCUUAGGGAUAACAGCGUAAUUUUAUUUGAGAGUUCUUAUUGACAAUAAAGAUUGCGACCUCGAUGUUGGAUUAAGAUUAUUAUUAGGUGUAGGUGCUUAAUUAAUAGGUCUGUUCGACCUUUAAAAUCUUACAUGAUCU
rnacentral:rRNA from 1 species